rnacentral:tRNA from 1 species
GCCGCCUUAGCUCAGCUGGUAGAGCACCACCAUGGUAAGGUGGGGGUCGUGAGUUCAAGCCUCAUAGGUGGCU